rnacentral:rRNA from 1 species
UACGUAGGUGGCAAGCGUUGUCCGGAUUUAUUGGGUUUAAAGGGUGCGUAGGCGGCCCUGUAAGUCAGUGCUGAAAUAUCCCGGCUUAACCGGGAGGGUGGCAUUGAUACUGCGGGGCUAGAGUACAGAUGAGGUAGGCGGAAUUGACGGUGAAGCGGUGAAAUGCUUAGAUAUCGUCAAGAACACCUAUAGCGAAGGCAGCUUACUAGGCUGUAACUGACGCUGAGGCACGAAAGUGUGGGGAUCAGACAGG